CGGCGGGGACGACCCCGCUGCCUGACCGCUGGCAGGGACGACCCU
rnacentral:ncRNA from 1 species